rnacentral:lncRNA from 1 species
AGGGAGGACAAGUGAUGGAGGAAGGAUGGAUUCGGUUACCAGAUGGGAGAGAAGCUGUGCCACAGCUGCUAGGAGCCGCAGUUGUGCUGGCUGUGCAUAAAACCACCCAUCUAGGCCAGGAGUCACUUGAAAAGUUGUUAGUCCGGUAUUUCUACAUCUUGCAUUUGUCAGCCCUUGCCAAAACGGUGACGCAGCGGUGUGUUACCUGCCCAAAGCAUAAUGCGAAGCAAGGUCCAGCUGUUCCGCCCGUCAUACAAGCUUAUGGAGCAGCCCCCUUUGAAGAUGUCCAGGUGGACUUCACAGAGAUGCCAAAGUGUGGAGGUAAUCGAGUGUGGAUCAAGGACUGGAACGUAACUUCUUUGUGCCCACGGUGGAAAGACCGUAGUCUGUCGUCCUGACCACUCCCACCGCUGUGAAGGUAGAGGGAAUCCCAGCCUGGAUCCACCACAGCCGUGUAAAACCUGCAGCACCUGAAACCUGGGAGGCAAGACCAAGCCCAGACGACCCUUGCAGAGUGACCCUGAGGAAGACGACAAGCCCUGCUCCAGUCACACCCAGAAGCUGACUGGUCCACGCACGGCCGAAGCAUGAGGAAGCUCAUCGUGGGAUUCAUUUUUCUUAAAUUCUGGACUUACACAGUAAGGGCUUCAACUGACCUUACUCAAACUGGGGACUGUUCCCAGUGUAUUCAUCAGGUCACUGAGGUAGGACAGCAAAUUAAAACAAUCUUUCUGUUCUAUAGUUAUUAUGAAUAUAUGGGAAUGUUAAAAGAAACUUGUUUGUAUAAUGCCACUCAGUACAAGGUAUGUAGCCUGGGAAAUGACCCACCUGAUGUGUGUUAUAACCCAUCUGAGCCCCCUGCAACCACCAUUUUUGAAACAAGAUUAAGAACUAGCCUUUUCCUAGGUGACACAAGUAAAAUAAUAACUAGAACAGAAGAAAAAGGAAUCCCCAAACAAAUAAUUUUAAGAUUUGAUGCUUGUGCAGCCAUUAAUAGUAACAAACUAGGAACAGAAUGUGGUUCUCUUAACUGGGAAAGGAGCUACAGAGUAGAAAAUAAAUAUGUUUGUCAUGAGUCAGGGGAUUGUGAAAAUUGUGCCUUUUGGCCAUGUGUUAUUUGGGCUACUUGGAAAAAGAACAAAAAAGACCCGGUUCAUCUUCAGAAGGGGGAAGCCAACCCUUCCUGUGCUGCCGGUCACUGUAACCCACUAGAACUAAUAAUUACCAAUCCCCUAGAUCCCCAUUAGAAAAAGGGAGAACGUGUAACCCUGGGGAUCGAUGGGACGGGGUUAAACCCCCAAGUUGCCAUUUUAAUUAGAGGGGAGGUCCACAAGCGCUCUCCCAAGCCAGUAUUUCAAACCUUUUAUGAGGAGCUGAAUCUGCCAGCACCAGAACUUCCGAAAAAGACAAAAAAUUUGUUUAUCCAAUCAGCAGAAAAUGUAGCUCAUUCCCUUAAUGUUACUUCUUGUUAUGUAUGCGGGGGAACCACUAUCGGAGACCGAUGGCCUUGGGAAGCCCGAGAGUUGGUGCCUACUGAUCCAGCUCCUGAUGUAAUUCCAGUUCAGAAGGCCCAAGCUAGCAACUUCUGGGUCCUAAAAACCUCAAUUAUUGGACAAUACUGUAUAGCUAGAGAAGGGAAAGUCUUUAUCAUCCCUGUAAGAAAGCUUAAUUGUAUAGGACAGAAGUUGUACAACAGCACAACAAAGACAAUUACUUGGUGGGGCCUAAACCACACUGAAAAGAACCCAUUUAGUAAAUUUUCUAAAUUAAAAACUGCCUGGGCUCAUCCAGAAUCUCAUCAGGACUGGGCAGCUCCCGCUGGACUAUACUGGAUAUGUGGGCACGGAGCCUACAUUCGGUUACCUAAUAAAUGGGCAGGCAGUUGUGUUAUUGGCACUAUUAAGCCGUCCUUUUUCUUAUUACCCAUAAAAACGGGUGAGCUCCUAGGUUUCCCUGUCUAUGCCUCCCAAGAGAGGCAUAGUUAUAGGAAACUGGAAAGAUAAUGAGUGGCCCCCUGAAAGGAUCAUACAGUAUUAUGGGCCUGCCGCAUGGGCACAAGACAGCUCAUGGGGAUACUGAAUCCCCAUCUACAUGCUCAAUCAGAUCAUAUGGUUGCAGGCCAUCUUAGAAAUAAUUACUAAUGAAACUUUGACUGUUUUAGCUUGGCAGGAAACCCAAAUGAGGAAUGCUAUCUCUCAGAAUAGGCUGGCCUUGGACUACUUGCUAGCAGCUGAAGGAGGAGUUUGUGAAAAAUUUAACUUAACCAGUUGCUGCCUACAAAUAGAUGAUCAAGGACAGGUGGUUGAAAACAUAGUCAGGGACAUGACAAAGGUGGCACAUGUGUCUGUACAGGUUUGGCACGAGUUUGAUCCUGAGUCUUUCUUUGGAAAAUGGUUUCCAGCUACAGGAGGAUUAAAAACCCUCAUUGUAGGUGUAGUGCUAGUAAUAGGAACUUGCUUGCUGCUCCCCUGUGUAUUACCCUUGCUUUUUCAAAUGAUAAAAUGUUUUGUUGCUACUUUGGUUCAUCAAAAAACUUCAGCACACGUGUAUUAUAUGAAUCACUAUCGCUCUAUCUCGCAAAGAGACUCAGAAAGUGAGGAUGAGAGUGAGAACUCCCACUAAAAAGUGAAAAUUCUCAAAGGGGGGGAAUAUGGUACGAGACCACCACUUCUCCUGUUGUCCUUCCCAGUUUCUCCCCAACCUCCCCUUUUCCCUAGUUUAUAAGACAGGAGAAAAGGGAGAAAGCAAAAAGUUGGAAAGAAACAGAAGAAAGAUAAAUAGCUAGACGACCUUGGCGCCACCACCUGGCCCUGGUGGUUAAAAUGAUAAUAAUAUUAACCCCUGACCAAAACUACUGGUGUUAUCUGUAAAUUCCAGACAUUGUGUGAGAAAGCACUGUAAAACUUUUUGUAGUGUUAGCUGAUGUAGGUAGCCCACAGUCACAUUCCUCACACUUACUUGAUCUAUUAUGACUCUUUCACGUAGACCCCUUAGAGUUGUAAGCCCUUCAAAGGGCUAGGAAUUUCUUUUUCGGGGAGCUCGGCUCUUAAGAUGCGAGUCUGCUGAUGCUCCCGGCCGAAUAAAAAAC